UUGCAUCGGGUUGCACCUUAAAGAUCAUGUCCUUCAGCCUCUCAAUCUCAACUUGCAGCUCCAUCUUGUUUCUAAACUUCUGAAUAUUGCAGGUAAUUGGAACUGGUAUUUACUUCACAGCCUCCCCCUUCUGGUUCAGAUUCGUUGCCUGAUUCUUGCCUUUAGAGUGGCUCCAAGAUAGGGAGUUUCUCCAUAUCCAGUAUGUAUGGCAUUUUUAAUCAACUUUCGAAUGUUG
rnacentral:lncRNA from 1 species